AUUGAACGCUGGCGGCAUGCUUUACACAUGCAAGUCGAACGGCAGCGCGGGGCAACCUGGCGGCGAGUGGCGAACGGGUGAGUAAUACAUCGGAACGUACCCAGAAGUGGGGGAUAACGUAGCGAAAGUUACGCUAAUACCGCAUACGUUCUACGGAAGAAAGUGGGGGAUCUUCGGACCUCAUGCUUUUGGAGCGGCCGAUGUCUGAUUAGCUAGUUGGUGAGGUAAAGGCUCACCAAGGCGACGAUCAGUAGCUGGUCUGAGAGGACGACCAGCCACACUGGGGCUGAGACACGGCCCAGACUCCUACGGGAGGCAGCAGUGGGGAAUUUUGGACAAUGGGCGCAAGCCUGAUCCAGCAAUGCCGCGUGAGUGAAGAAGGCCUUCGGGUUGUAAAGCUCUUUUGUCAGGGAAGAAACGGCUGGGGUUAAUACCUCUGGCUAAUGACGGUACCUGAAGAAUAAGCACCGGCUAACUACGUGCCAGCCGCCGCAGUAA
rnacentral:rRNA from 1 species